AUAUGUUGAAAGUAGAUGCUGUAUUGCUAUCAGUAUUUAUUCGAGUAUUCAAAGGUAUGCUUAAUCCUAAAGCAGUGUAGCGAAAAAACGUGAAAGAAAAACACUUGUA
rnacentral:ncRNA from 1 species